AGCGAUGCACAGCACCCACAGCCUGUCAUUGGAUUGAAACAAGCUGCCUUUUCACAUAAUACGCACAGGGAUGAGCGCUACAUGUCACAAGGUUCUAGGAUUCCAUCAGCUCAGGAGUACUGGAAAGGCUGCAAUGUGAUUAUACGAGUGCACCGAACCAUUCAUCCUUCUGUCAUGCCUUUCAGACGAGGCAUCACUGGGGAAAAAAAAGACAAGAAAAGGAAAUCUCCAGUUUCAAGAGUUUAGAAAACAUCUUUGGACAUGACAAGGCAUUUAGUUUGAAAAUAUCAGUAAUGAAAGCUGAAGAGGGUAGAUGGAGGAGUAUGGUUGGGAGCUGUUAUUUCAUGCACAAUAAAACAAAGAAAUAGUAUUCAUACGAAGAAACAGAUCAGAUCAAAUGGAAUUCAGCCUUUCAAACAGUUAUUUCAAUGUCUUUCAAGCAUUAAUGUUAAACAAAUCUGUCCAGUUGUAGUAAUAUGUACAUGCUUAUAUACACACAUAUGCACAUAUAGUACAAAUAUGUAUAUACAGGUAUAUUUUCUACACACACAUUCUUUCUCUCCCGGUUAUCCUCCUAUUUGCACUCAACCAUCACAGCUUCAGUACUGAUCAGAUGUAAGGCUCUGUGUUUGUCACGGAGGUUGCGGAAAUCAUGGAUUCCUGCGACCUCCGUGACUUCUGCAGCAGCUGGUGUGGCUGACCCCAGGGCCGCCCAAGCAGCUGGCCCUGGGGCCACCUGCUUGAAAGGUCCUGGGGACAGCCACACUGGCCGCUGCUGGAGUGGCUUUGAAGCCAGCUGCUUGGACGGCCCCACAGCCAGUUGCAUCAUCUGCUGCUGUGGUGGCCCUGGGCAGCGGCCAAUGUGGCUGGCUCCAGGGACCACCUGAGCAGCAGUCCUUGGGGCGGCGGGAGGAGCCACAGCUCAGGGGCUCCCGACAGCAAUCCCGGACUGGCUGGAGCAGCAGCUGGCCUCGGGCUUCCCCACAGCAGUGGCUGCAGUGGCAGCAGGCCCUCGGGGCUUUCCCCUCCUGCAGCUGGAGCGGUAGCA